GGUUGGCUUAGAAGCAGCCAUCCUUUAAAGAAAGCGUAAUAGCUCACUGGUCAAGCGGUCCGGUGCCGACAAUUUAACGGGGCUUAAGCUUGUUACCGAAGCAGCGAAUGCAUCGAUUCACAUCGAUGCGUGGUAGGAGAGCAUUCCCAACGAUUUGAAGCCAGACUGAAAAGACUGGUGGAUUGUUGAGAAGAGACCCUGCCGGCAUAAGUAGCGAUAACGGAGGUGAGAACCCUCCGCGCCGAAAGUCUAAGGUUUCCUGAGGAAGGUUAAUCCGCUCAGGGUUAGUCGGUCCCUAAGGCGAGGCCGAAAGGCGUAGUCGAUGGACAUCCGGUUAAUAUUCCGGAACUCCCUUUCAAUCGUUAUUACGAUGGGGUGACGCAGAAGGAUAAGUGCAGCCUGUUAUGGCUAUCAGGUUCGAUGCGUGUAAGCCGGUUUCUCCAGGCAAAUCCGGAGAGACAUUCAAACGGUGAGACGCAGAGGAGUAGUCCGUAUGGACGAAACGCACCGAGUUCACGCUGCCAAGAAAAACCUCUAAGGAGAAGGAAAGGGAACCGUACCUCAAACCGACACAGGUAGACGAGGAGAAUAUCCAAAGGCGCUCGAGAGAACGCUCGUUCAGGAACUCGGCAAAUUAACCCCGUAACUUCGGGAGAAGGGGUGCCCCGGUAGAGUGCAAGCUCGAGGGGGCCGCAGUGAAAUGCGCACGGCGACUGUUUAACAAAAACACAGGUCUCUGCAAAGUCGAAAACGACGUAUAGGGGCUGACGCCUGCCCGGUGCCGGAAGGUUAAAGGGAGAGGUUAGCCGCAAGGCGAAGCUUCGAACUGAAGCCCCGGUGAACGGCGGCCGUAACUAUAACGGUCCUAAGGUAGCGAAAUUCCUUGUCGGGUAAGUUCCGACCUGCACGAAUGGCGUAACGAUCGUGCGACUGUCUUAACGAGCGACUCGGCGAACUUGUAGUACCGGUGAAGAUGCCGGUUACCCGCAUCUAGACGGAAAGACCCCGUGCACCUUUACUAUACCUUCACUAUGAACUAUGGCACUUGCUGCGCAGGAUAGGUGGGAGGCUUUGAUUUCAGGCUCUCGGGCUUGGAGGAGCCAACGGUGAGAUACCACCCUGCGAGUUCUGUGGUUCUAACCUAUUCCCGUAAACCGGGAAAGGGACAUAGUGAGGCGGGUAGUUUGACUGGGGCGGUCGCCUCCUAAAUUGUAACGGAGGCGCGCGAAGCUACACUCAGGCUGUUUGGAAAUCAGCCGUCGAGUGCAAAGGCAUAAGUGUGGUUGACUGCGAGUCCUACAAGACGAGCAGGUGCGAAAGCAGGCCUUAGUGAUCCGGUGGUUCUGUAUGGAAGGGCCAUCGCUCAACGGAUAAAAGGUAC
rnacentral:rRNA from 1 species